GUUAACUUUGUGAUCAAGCUACUAAGGGCUUAUGGUGGAUGCCUUGGUGCCAGGAGGCGAUGAAGGACGUAGCAAGCUGCGAUAAGCCACGGUCAGCCGCAAGCAGGCGUUAUCAGCCGUGGAUCUCCGAAUGGGACAACCCAACCGGUCUAACAGCCGGUUAUCAUUGGAUGAAUGCAUAGUCCAAUGAGGCAACACGCGGUGAAGUGAAACAUCUCAGUAACCGCAGGAAAAGAAAACGAAGUGAUUCCGUCAGUAGUGGCGAGCGAAAGCGGAACAGCCUAAACCGGGAGGACUUGUCUUCCCGGGGUUGCGGGACCUCGAUGUGGGAGUGGGAGAGUUAGCAGAACGAUCUGGAAAGUUCGGCCAUAGACCGUGACAGCCGGGUAUGCGAAAACUCGAACACCCCUAGGGGUAUCCCAAGUAAUGCGGUGCACGUGAAACUCUGCAUGAAUCCGUCCCGACCACGGGAUAAGGCUAAAUACUACCUGGCAACCGAUAGUGAACAAGUACCGUGAGGGAAAGGUGAAAAGAACCCCUGCUAGGGGAGUGAAAGAGUACCUGAAACCAUAUGCCUACAAUGUGUCGGAGUCCCGCUUCGGCGGGAUGACGGCUUGCCUUUUGCAUAAUGAGUCUGCGAGUUAUUGUCAGUGGCGAGCCUAAGGUGUUAUGCACCGGAGGCGAAGGGAAACCGAGUGCCAAUAGCGCGACCAAGUCGCUGGCAAUAGACCCGAAGCGGAGGUGAUCUACUCUUGAGCAGGUUGAAGCCCAGGUAACACUGGGUGGAGGACCGAACUCGUGAAUGUUGAAAAAUUCUGAGAUGACUUGAGAGUAGGAGCGAAAGACUAAUCAAACCCCGUGAUAGCUGGUUCUCUCCGAAAUCGCUUGAGGGCGAGUCUUAUGGAAGUACCCGGCGGAGGUAGAGCACUGAAUGGCUUAGGGGCCCCACCAGGCUGCCAAAACCAAUCAAACUCCGAAUGCCGCCGGUCUCAGUAUCAUAGGAGUUAGGCCGUAGGUGAUAAGAUUUACGGCCGAGAGGGCAACAGCCCAGACCAUCAGCUAAGGUGCCCAAAUGUGGUUAAGUGGAAAGGAUGUGACGUUGCUUAGACAGUGAGGAUGUUGGCUUAGAGGCAGCCAUCAUUUAAACAGUGCGUAAUAGCUGACUCAUCGAGCGAUGUCGCGCCGAAAAUGAUUGGCGAUUAAACCACAUACCGAAGCUAUGGAUUCGUUUCCGGUUCGCCGGAGACGAGUGGUAGGAGAGCGUAAUCAAUGCUGCGAAGCAGAACGGAAACGGACUGUGGAGCGUUGAUUAGUGAGAAUGCAGACACGAGUAGCGAUAAACCAGAUGAGAAUUCUGGUCGCCGUAAACCCAAGGUUUCCUGGGCCAGGUUCGUCCUCCCAGGGUUAGCCGGGAGCUAAGACAAGGCCGUAAGGCGUAGUCGAUGCACAGCAGGUUAAAUAUUCCUGCGCCGGCCGGGGUUAAGGCUGCGGAUGACGCAUGGGAACACAUCAACUAGACAAUCGAAUGUCGAGCCUAGCCUUCGGGCGAAGCGCAUUGGUGGGUUCCUGUGCCGAGAAAAGUCUGCAGUUGUUCCCCCGGUCGCCCGUACCGUAAACCGACACAGGUGGGUGAGUGUAAAUGCACUCAGGCGCGCGAGAGAGACCUCUCUAAGGAACUCGGCACAUUAGCCCCGUAACUUCGGGAGAAGGGGUGCCUGAAACCGCUGCAGCGAUGUGGCGGCGUAAGGUCUCAGUAAAUUGCGUUUAGCGACUGUUUAACAAAAACACAGCACUCUGCCAAGUCGUCAAGACGACGUAUAGGGUGUGACACGUGACCAAUGCGGAAAGAUUAAACUAUGGGGUCAGCCGCAAGGCGAAGCUCCGUAGCCAAGUCCCCGUGAAUGUCGGCCGUAACUAUAACGGUCCUAAGGUAGCGAAAUUCCUUGUCGGGUAAGUUCCGACCUGCACGAAUCGUGUAACGACUGAACGACUGUCUCGGAGAGGAUCUCGGCGAAACUGUAAUGGCGGUGAAGAUGCCGCCUGCCCGCAGUAGGACGGAAAGACCCUAUGCACCUUUACUGUAAGCUCGUAUUGUGUUCUGGUUAAUUAUGCGUAGCGUAGGUGGGAGACUUUGAAGCGGGGGCUUCGGUUCCCGUGGAGUCGCAAUGUGAAACACCACUCUUAGCUAACUAGGAUUCUAACCCCAUGCUGUCAGCCAGCUGGGGGACAGUGCGUGCGGGUCAGUUUGACUGGGGCGGUUUCCUCCCAAAGAGUAACGGAGGAGCGCGAAGCUUGGCUCAGCACGGUUGGCAACCGUGCGUCGAGCGUAUGGGUAGAAGCCAGGUUAACUGUGAGACCCACAAGUCGAGCAGGUGCGAAAGCAGGCCCAAAUGAUCCGACGGUUUAAUGUGGAAUUGCCGUCGCUCAUCGGACAAAAGGUACGCUAGGGAUAACAGGCUGAUCGAGUCCAAGAGUUCAUAUCGACGACUCGGUUUGGCACCUCGAUGUCGGCUCAUCGCAUCCUGGGGCUGGAGAAGGUCCCAAGGGUCCGGCUGUUCGCCGGUUAAAGCGGUACGCGAGCUGGGUUCAGAACGUCGUGAGACAGUUCGGUCCUUAUCCACUGUGGGCGGAGGAAACUUGAGGGGUUCUAACCCUAGUACGAGAGGACCGGGUUAGACGCACUUCUGGUGUGGCAGUUGUUCCGUCAGGGGCACCGCUGCGUAGCCAUGUGCGGAAGAGAUAAGCGCUGAAAGCAUCUAAGUGCCAAGCUCCUCCCAAGAUAAGGUUUCCCCGGACCGCAAGGUCCCUGAAGACCACGGGCAGACUACCCGUUUGAUAGGCUGGACGUGUAAGAGCUGUGAGGCUUUUAGCCGACCAGUACUAAUCGGUCGUGAGGCUUGAUCGCU
rnacentral:rRNA from 1 species